GCUUCUAACAGUACACGAUAGUAGCCGACCUGAGAGGUGACGGCACCUGAACUGACCCGUCCAUCUACGAGGCGACAUGGAAUAUGCCUAUGAGGCUUUGAUGCAGCAACGUCGGUUGAGAAGAGGUUUUCGAUCGUAACUUCGUCCAAGAGACGAGUGACGGUACUUUCGGAGGAAGCCCGGCUAACUACGUGCCAGCAGCCGCGGUAAUACGUAAGGGGGCAAGCGUUAUUCCGGCAUUAUUGGGCGUAAAGAGUGCGUACGUGUCACUUAAGCGCAGGGUUUAAGGCAAUGCUCAACCAUUGUAUGCCUGCGAACUGGGCGACUUGAGUGCAGGAGAGGAAAGUGGAAUUCCUAGUGUAGCGGUGAAAUGCGUAGAUAUAGGAGGAACACCGGUGGCGAAGGCGACUUUCUGGACUGAAACUGACAUGAGGCAAGAAAGCGUGGGGAGCAAACAGGAUUAGAUACCAUGGUAGUCCACGCCGUAAACGAUGAGCACCAGGUGUCGGGGUCGCAAGACCUCGGUGCCGCAGUUAACGCAUUAAGUGCUCCGCCUGGGGAGUACGUUCGCAAGAAUAAAACUCAAAGGAAUUGACGGGGACCCGCACAAGCAGCGGAGCAUGUGGUUUAAUUCGAAGCAACGCGAAGAACCUUACCAGGGCUUGGCAUCCUUCUGCCGUACCCGCAAAAGGGUAUUUCCUACGGGACAGAAGAGACAGGUGGUGCAUGGUUGUCGUCAGCUCGUGUCGUGAGAUGUUGGGUUAAGUCCCGCAACGAGCGCAACCCUUGCCUUUAGUUGCCAUCAUUAAGUUGGGCACUCUAGAGGGACUGCCGGGGACAACUCGGAGGAAGGUGGGGAUGACGUCAAAUCAUCAUGCCCCUUAUGUUCUGGGCUACACACGUGCUACAAUGGCCGGUACAACAGGCAGCGAAGGAGCGAUCCGGAGCGAAUCCCAAAAGCCGGUCUCAGUUCGGACUGCAGGCUGCAACCCGCCUGCACGAAGUCGGAGUUGCUAGUAAUCGCGGAUCAGCACGCCGCGGUGAAUGCGUUCCCGGGUCUUGUACACACCGCCCGUCACACCAUGGAAGUUGGGGGUGCCCGAAGUCGGUUAACAAAUCUAUCGCCUAAGGCAAAACCAAUGACUGGGGUGAAGUCGUAACAAGGUAGCCGUAUCGGAAGGUGCGGUUGGAACACCUCCUUC
rnacentral:rRNA from 1 species